rnacentral:rRNA from 1 species
AAAUUGAAGAGUUUGAUCAUGGCUCAGAUUGAACGCUGGCGGCAGGCCUAACACAUGCAAGUCGAACGGUAACAGGAAGCAGCUUGCUGCUUUGCUGACGAGUGGCGGACGGGUGAGUAAUGUCUGGGAAACUGCCUGAUGGAGGGGGAUAACUACUGGAAACGGUGGCUAAUACCGCAUAACGUCGCAAGACCAAAGAGGGGGACCUUCGGGCCUCUUGCCAUCAGAUGUGCCCAGAUGGGAUUAGCUUGUUGGUGAGGUAACGGCUCACCAAGGCGACGAUCCCUAGCUGGUCUGAGAGGAUGACCAGCCACACUGGAACUGAGACACGGUCCAGACUCCUACGGGAGGCAGCAGUGGGGAAUAUUGCACAAUGGGCGCAAGCCUGAUGCAGCCAUGCCGCGUGUAUGAAGAAGGCCUUCGGGUUGUAAAGUACUUUCAGCGGGGAGGAAGGUGUUGCGGUUAAUAACCGCAGCAAUUGACGUUACCCGCAGAAGAAGCACCGGCUAACUCCG